UUGCACGCUGGCGGCAGGCCUAACACAUGCAAGUCGCGCGGAUGAAGGGAGCUUGCUCCUGGUUUCAGCGGCGGACGGGUGAGUAAUGCCUAGGAAUCUGCCUGGUAGUGGGGGAUAACGUCCGGAAACGGGCGCUAAUACCGCAUACGUCCUGAGGGAGAAAGUGGGGGAUCUUCGGACCUCACGCUAUCAGAUGAGCCUAGGUCGGAUUAGCUAGUUGGUGGGGUAAAGGCCUACCAAGGCGACGAUCCGUAACUGGUCUGAGAGGAUGAUCAGUCACACUGGAACUGAGACACGGUCCAGACUCCUACGGGAGGCAGCAGUGGGGAAUAUUGGACAAUGGGCGAAAGCCUGAUCCAGCCAUGCCGCGUGUGUGAAGAAGGUCUUCGGAUUGUAAAGCACUUUAAGUUGGGAGGAAGGGCAGUAAGUUAAUACCUUGCUGUUUUGACGUUACCAACAGAAUAAGCACCGGCUAACUUCGUG
rnacentral:rRNA from 1 species